UGGGCGCGUAGCUCAGCUGGUUAGAGCGCACGCCUGAUAAGCGUGAGGUCGGUGGUUCAAGUCCACUCGUGCCCAU
rnacentral:tRNA from 1 species